rnacentral:rRNA from 1 species
UACGUAGGGGGCAAGCGUUGUCCGGAUUUAUUGGGCGUAAAGAGCUCGUAGGCGGUCUGUCGCGUCGAUCGUGAAAACUUGGGGCUUAACCCUGAGCUUGCGGUCGAUACGGGCAUGACUGGAGUUCGGCAGGGGAGACUGGAAUUCCUGGUGUAGCGGUGAAAUGCGCAGAUAUCAGGAGGAACACCGGUGGCGAAGGCGGGUCUCUGGGCCGAUACUGACGCUGAGGAGCGAAAGCGUGGGGAGCAAACAGG